rnacentral:rRNA from 1 species
GAUGAACGCUGGCGGCGUGCUUAACACAUGCAAGUCGAACGGGGUUUAGCGAGAGCUUGCUUUUGCUAAACCUAGUGGCGGACGGGUGAGUAACGCGUGAGUAACCUGCCUUAGACUGGGGGAUAACACUUAGAAAUAGGUGCUAAUACCGCAUAAGCGCACAGUGCCGCAUGGCACAGUGUGAAAAACUCCGGUGGUCUAAGAUGGACUCGCGUCUGAUUAGCUAGUUGGUGAGGUAACGGCCCACCAAGGCGACGAUCAGUAGCCGGCCUGAGAGGGUGAACGGCCACAUUGGGACUGAGACACGGCCCAAACUCC